GACGAACGCUGGCGGCGUGCUUAACACAUGCAAGUCGAACGGUGAAAGCGGAGCUUGCUCCGCUGGAUCAGUGGCGAACGGGUGAGUAACACGUGGGCAACCUGCCCCCCACUUCGGGAUAACUCCGGGAAACCGGGGCUAAUACCGGAUAUGACCUCCUUGGGCAUCCUUGGAGAUGGAAAGCUUUUCGGUGAGGGAUGGGCCCGCGGCAUAUCAGCUGGUUGGUGAGGGAGGGGCUCAACAAGGCGACGACGGGUAGCCGGCCUGAGAGGGCGACGGGCCACACUGGGAUGGAGACACGGCCCAGACUCCUACGGGAGGCAGGAGAGGGGAUUAAUGCGCAAUGGGCGAAAGCCUGACGCAUCAACGCCGCGUGCGGGAUGGCGUCCUUCGGGUUGUAAACCGCUUUCAGCAGGGAAGAAGCCGCAAGGUGACGGUACCUGCAGAAGAAGCACCGGCUAACUACGUGCCAGCCGCCGCGGUAA
rnacentral:rRNA from 1 species